UACGAAGGGGGCUAGCGUUGCUCGGAAUCACUGGGCGUAAAGGGCGCGUAGGCGGCCAUUCAAGUCAGGGGUGAAAGCCUGUGGCUCAACCACAGAAUUGCCUUUGAUACUGUUUGGCUAGAGACCGGAAGAGGUAAGUGGAACUGCGAGUGUAGAGGUGAAAUUCGUAGAUAUUCGCAAGAACACCAGUGGCGAAGGCGGCUCACUGGUCCGGUACUGACGCUGAGGUGCGAAAGCGUGGGGAGCAAACAGG
rnacentral:rRNA from 1 species